GAGAAAAAAAUAGUCAAUUAAUAGUUAUGUUGAUUUUUUUUUUUUUUUUUUU
rnacentral:ribozyme from 1 species